UGCUCUGCAGGUCUGAAAGGGUGGGGCUAUUGGAGCCCAAGGGGUGCUGGCAGGUACCCCUAGAUGAAUCUGCCACGGAAAGGUCAACUUUCACCACACAUGUCGGCUGUAUGAAUUUAAUGUACUCCCUUUCGGGCUACGGAAUGCACCCACCACCUUCCAAAGACUUGUAGAUGGUCUCCUAGCGGGAUUAGGAGAAUAUGCAGUCGCCUA